GUGUUGCAAACAGUAUCAGUUUCGCAAUGCAAGGGAAAAUAUGUUUUUGUUUAUUGAAUAUGUUGCUUGAAUGUUUUUUUAUUCAACUUGAACAGAAUGGUACUUCAGGAAUAGUCUUCCAGACCAGCUUAGACCUUGCAAGGAUGAGAUCCCCUAAGUUCAGGAGGAUUAUCUCUGACUCAGGCCUCUCAUGAUGGCACACUUCAUUAAUGUUCCACAGGAAAUUGAUAUAUUUGCAGAAGAUGGUGGCUUGGUGGGUCGGUAUUCAAGCCUCUUAUUCGAGGGGCUGUUCCUGGUUUAAAAGUUUGGUGAUAGGGUAUCCUAAGGCGUUGGACAGAGAAUGUGUAAUGGUCAAUGGUGCUGCUGUUUCUGCUCUGGGCAAAAUAACGCAGUUCCAUCGUGAAAGACUCAAUGUGGCAAAGGUAUGUUUACUUGUUUCUUCUUUCCAGAUUAUUGGCAAAAGAAGCCUUUGUGCUUUACCAAAUGCAUUUACAUUUCUCAGUGAAUUUCUUCUGAGACUUUCCUUUUUGGAUUGAUCUUGAGAGUUCUAGCUCAGUUGAAAGUAAAAAGAGAUGUUUUGCAUGGUUCCAUUGCAUUUUUGGAAAGAAAUCCUCCGAUAUUUGUCAACAAUUCAUGCUCUGAAAUAGUACAACACCAAUAUUUUCUCAAAAAUGCUGGUCAGUGAUCAUUCUGUCAAGUGUGUAGCUGGUUUCUUUAUUUAGCAGGUUAUCGAGAUGUGUUUAAGCCAUUUGCCACUAAAAAUAAUAGAAAUCAGGCAACAGUUUUGCAUCAUCGGCUAAUUCAAACAAUAAAGGUUAACACAGCCAAAAAUUCUCCUUUCCGCUAUCAUUUCAGCAUAAGCAUCGUCAAUUCAGCAAAAAAUUCCCUAA